rnacentral:rRNA from 1 species
AUGGCUCAGGAUGAACGCUGGCGGCGUGCCUAAUACAUGUAAGUCGAACGGAGGAUUUAGCAAUAGAUUCUUAGUGGCGAACGGGUGAGUAACGCGUUGGUGACCUGCCCCGAAGAGCGGGAUAACAGAUCGAAAGGUCUGCUAAUACCGCAUGUGGUCAUCAGGGUUAGAGGCCUGAUGACUGAAGGAGCAAUCCGCUUCGGGAGGGGCCUGCGUCCCAUCAGCUAGUUGGUAGGGUAAUGGCCUACCAAGGCGAAGACGGGUAGGGGACCUGAGAGGGUGAUCCCCCACACUGGCACUGAAACACGGGCCAGACACCUACGGGUGGCAGCAGUAGGGAAUAUUGCACAAUGGGCGAAAGCCUGAUGCAGCAACGCCGCGUGCGCGAUGAAGGCCUUCGGGUCGUAAAGCGCUUUUCGGGGAGACGAGAAAGGACGGUAUCCCCGGAAUAAGGCUCGGCUAACUACGUGCCAGCAGCCGCGGUAAAACGUAGGAGCCAAGCGUUAUCCGAAUUCACUGGGCGUAAAGCGCGUGCAGGCGGCUCGGUAAGUUGGAUGUGAAAGCUCCCGGCUCAACUGGGAGAGGACGUUCAAUACUGUCGGGCUAGAGGACGGCAGAGGAAGGUGGAAUUCCCGGUGUAGUGGUGAAAUGCGUAGAUAUCGGGAGGAACACCAGUGGCGAAGGCGGCCUUCUGGGCCGUUCCUGACGCUCAGACGCGAAAGCUAGGGGAGCGAACGGGAUUAGACACCCCGGUAGUCCUAGCUGUAAACGAUGUAGACUGGGUGUUGGUGGGUUAAAAGCCACCAGUGCCGAAGCCGACGCGAUAAGUCUACCGCCUGGGGACUACGGCCGCAAGGUUAAAACUCAAAGGAAUUGACGG